UGUGAAGUUGCCCACCCCCAUGCAGAGCCUU
rnacentral:piRNA from 1 species